rnacentral:rRNA from 1 species
UACGUAGGGCGCAAGCGUUGUCCGGAAUUAUUGGGCGUAAAGAGCUCGUAGGCGGCCUGUUGCGUCCGCUGUGAAAUCCCGGGGCUUAACCCCGGGCCUGCAGUCGAUACGGGCAGGCUAGAGUUCGGCAGGGGAGACUGGAAUUCCUGGUGUAGCGGUGAAAUGCGCAGAUAUCAGGAAGAACACCCGUGGCGAAGGCGGCUCUCGUGGGACGGUACUG